rnacentral:misc_RNA from 1 species
GAUGAAGAACGCAGCGAAAUGCGAUAAGUUGUGUGAAUUGCAGAAUUCAGUGAAUCAUCGAAUCUUUGAACGCACAUUGCGCCCCUUGGUAUUCCAUGGGGCAUGCCUGUUCGAGCGUCAUUUGUACCUUCAAGCUCUGCUUGGUGUUGGGUGUUUGUCUCGCCUCUGCGCGUAGACUCGCCUCAAAACAAUUGGCAGCCGGCGUAUUGAUUUCGGAGCGCAGUACAUCUCGCGCUUUGCACUCAUAACGACGACGUCCAAAAGUACAUUUUUACACUCUUGACCUCGGAUCAGGUAGGGAUACCCGCUGAACUUAAGCAUAUCAAUAAGCGGAGGA